UAAAUUUGGGUUUUUAAUAACUAUAUUUUUAAUUUAAAAAGUUAUUUUUUGUUUUUUAAAUUUUUAUAUAAUGUUUUAAAAUUUAAACUGUAUAGGUUUAUAUUUUAUUAAAAAAAAGAAAAUUUUUAUAUUGUACCUUUUGUGUCAGGGUUAAUUUAUUUUUUUAAAAAAUUUUUAUUUUCUCGAAAAAUUAAGAUUUUAGUUAUAUUUUGGUUUUAAUUGUUUCAAAAAUUUUGUUUAAAUUAAUUAAGUUUCGAUAUGAAAAUCGUUUAUUUUGAUAUCUAGUUGUUUUUGAAAUAAAUUUAAUUUAAAUAAUUUAAUUGGUUACUUUUAUUUUUUAGAAUAACUUUUUUUUAUUAAUUUAAAUUGGGUUAAUCUAAUUUAAUUUUUAUAAUUUUUACCAGGUUUAAAUGAAAAUGGUAGGAUUAAAAUUCUUUUUCUUAUAAAGUUUGUUUUAAAUUAUUUUUUUUUAAAAAAAUUUUAAUUUAAUUAUGUAAAAAACUUUCUUUAAAAACAAAUUUUAAAAUUAAUAAUGAUUAAAUUAGUCAAUUAAAAAAUUUAUAUUUAUGAAUUCGGCAAAAUUAAAUUUUUUGUCUGUUUAUCAAAAACAUUUCUUUUAGUUUAAAUCUUAAAGGUUGGGCCUGCUCAAUGAAUAUUAAAUAGCUGCAGUAUUUUAACUGUACUAAGGUAGCAUAAUAAUUAGUCUUUUAAUUGAGGUCUGGAAUGAAUGGUUUGACAAGAAAAUAACUUUAUUAAUUAAUCUUUUUUCAAUUUUAUUUUUUAGUUAAAAAGCUAAAAUUUUUAAAUGGGACGAUAAGACCCUAUAGAUCUUAAAAUUUUUUAUAUUUAAAAUAAUUUUAUGGGUUAAUUUAAAUUUUGUUUGGGAAAAUUUUUUGUUGGGGUGACAUAUAAAUUUUUAAAACUUUAAAAUUUUCUUACAUUUAUAGAUGUAUAAAUGAUCCAAACUUUUUGAUUAUUAAAAUAAGAUACCUUAGGGAUAACAGCGUAAUAAAUUUGUAUAGUACACAUAAAUAAGUUUGUUUACGACCUCGAUGUUGAAUUAAUAUUAAUUUUUGGAGCAGAAGCUAUAAUUUUGGGUCUGUUCGACCUUUAUAAUAUUACAUGAUUUGAGUUCAAACCGGUGUAAGCCAGGUUGGUUUCUAUCUUUUUAUAGUUUAUAUUUGAUUAGUACGAAAGGACUUUUAAGUUAAGAAGAUAUUCUU
rnacentral:rRNA from 1 species